AACGAACGCUGGCGGCAGGCUUAACACAUGCAAGUCGAGCGCCCCGCAAGGGGAGCGGCAGACGGGUGAGUAACGCGUGGGAAUCUACCCAUCUCUACGGAAUAACGCAUGGAAACGUGUGCUAAUACCGUAUACGUCCUUCGGGAGAAAGAUUUAUCGGAGAUGGAUGAGCCCGCGUUGGAUUAGCUAGUUGGUGGGGUAAAGGCCUACCAAGGCGACGAUCCAUAGCUGGUGUGAGAGGAUGAUCAGCCAGCCUGGGACUGAGACACGGCCCGGACUCCUCCGGGAGGCAGCAGUCGGGAAUAUUUGACAAGGGGCGCAAGCCUGAUCCGGCCAUGCCGCGUGCGUGAUGAAGGCCCUAGGGUUGUAAAGAUCUUUCACCGGUGAAGAUAAUGACGUUAACCGGAGAAGAAGCCCCGGCUAACUGCGUGCCAGCCGCCGCCGUAACAC
rnacentral:rRNA from 1 species